CAACGACUAGAGCAAGAAUAUAAUGCUGCUGUUAUUUUGACAACACCUACUGUUCCAUAUAAAGCUGUUCUUUCAUCAGCAAAAUUAAUAAAGGAAUACAGACAAAAAGAAAUCACAAUCAUCAACCCUGCACAAUUCCCUGAUAAGCCAAAAGUAACAGAAUAUUUGGAGCCAAUUGUGUUGGGUACGAUUAUCACACCAGAUGAAUACACUGGAAAAAUAAUGAUGCUUUGUCAGGCUCGAAGAGCAGUUCAGCAAAAUAUGAUGUUUAUUGAUCAAAGUAGAGUUAUGCUUAAGUAUCUUUUCCCUUUGAAUGAAAUUGUGGUAGA
rnacentral:lncRNA from 1 species